CCUGCAGUUCCUUCAGACUCUGAUGUAGAAUCUGACCAAAGCAGAAGCACGCUGAGAAUCAUCCAGACACUGCUGAAUUAUGGAUCCUGAUUGUAUAACGUGUACUUUUGAGAUUUGGCUAGUAAAAAUAUCGCCUGGCUGUUAUGUCUAGCCACACUGGAUCCCCGUUUCAUGUCAUUUAAAAGAGAAGAACAGAAGAGAAACGGCCGAGUCAGUGUUACCGGAUGAGAAUCUGCGAGG